rnacentral:rRNA from 1 species
UAGUAUCCUUACGUGAAUACAUAGCGUGAGGAAGGCAGACCCAGGGAACUGAAACAUCUAAGUACCUGGAGGAAGAGAAAGAAAAAUCGAUUUCCUGAGUAGCGGCGAGCGAAACGGAAAGAGCCCAAACCAAGAAGCUUGCUUCUUGGGGUUGUAGGACACUCUAUACGGAGUUACAAAAGAAAGUUAUAAAUGAAGCGGUCUGGAAAGGCCCGCCAAAGACGGUAACAGCCCGGUAGUUGAAAUGGCUUUCCCUCCAGAGUGGAUCCUGAGUACGGCGGAACACGUGAAAUUCCGUCGGAAUCCGGGAGGACCAUCUCCCAAGGCUAAAUACUCCCUAGUGACCGAUAGUGAACCAGUACCGUGAGGGAAAGGUGAAAAGCACCCCGGAAGGGGAGUGAAACAGUUCCUGAAACCGUGU